rnacentral:rRNA from 1 species
UACGUAGGGUGCGAGCGUUAAUCGGAAUUACUGGGCGUAAAGCGUGCGCAGGCGGUUCGUUGUGUCUGAUGUGGAAAGCCCCGGGCUCAACUUGGGAACGGCAUUGGAAACUGGCGAGCUAGAGUGUGGCAGAGGGGGGUGGAAUUCCGCGUGUAGCAGUGAAAUGCGUAGAGAUGCGGAGGAACACCGAUGGCGAAGGCA